UACGAAGGGUGCAAGCGUUACUCGGAAUUACUGGGCGUAAAGCGUGCGUAGGCGGUUUGUUAAGUCUGAUGUGAAAGCCCUGGGCUCAACCUGGGAACUGCAUUGGAAACUGGCUGACUAGAGUGCGGUAGAGGGGUGUGGAAUUCCCGGUGUAGCAGUGAAAUGCGUAGAUAUCGGGAGGAACACCGGUGGCGAAGGCGGCGACCUGGGUCGAGACUGACGCUGAGGCGCGAAAGCGUGGGGAGCAAACAGG
rnacentral:rRNA from 1 species